UACGAACCGAGCGAACGUUGUUCGGAAUCACUGGGCUUAAAGGGCGCGUAGGCGGGCAUUCAAGUCUGUGGUGAAAUCCUCCGGCUCAACCGGAGAACUGCCUCGGAUACUGGGUGUCUCGAGGGUGAUAGGGGUAUGCGGAACUAUCGGUGGAGCGGUGAAAUGCGUUGAUAUCGAUAGGAACUCCGGUGGCGAAGGCGGCAUACUGGAUCACUUCUGACGCUGAGGCGCGAAAGCCAGGGGAGCAAACGGG
rnacentral:rRNA from 1 species